rnacentral:lncRNA from 1 species
UGAAAAUAUAAAAUCAAUAUCGGCGGCGUCUUCGGUUCAUCUUGAAGCCCUUCCGAGGAGUGACUUCAGUAAAACCCUCCGUAGAAGUGACAAUUCUUUGCCCACCCAAUUUCGCGAUGACUGUCUCUUCCAUAAUCUCUGAGUCUGAAAUGCCUAUACGGACAUCAACAGGAACGUCAUCACUGGAGUUGCUGUAAUCCUCGAUCCGAUGGCUCGUUCCAAUUCUAUCUUUUGAAGUGUUGGGUGCAGGAGAUACCUCAGGGACAUCAGUGGAUUCGGUAUUGAGAGUGCAUAUCGGCGCAGCAUCAUAUGGAGCAUAUGGGAGUGUCAAAACUUCUGUAGAAGUAAUGUCUGGAAAUGUAUCACAAGAACUGACCGUCUGCCAAGAUGAGCUGCGGUAAAAUCGCCCUUGAUGGCGAUAAGGAUCCCAAGCAGGCGUCGCACGAUAAAUGAGGUCACCGGCUGUCGUUCCCACACGAGCGGCAUGAUCACCACUCAACGGCAGAAGAGCUGCAAGAGGUGUAGGAGUAAUGGCCGUAGAAUCAGCACUAGUAACAGCAGGAACGAGGUCACUGCACAUGGGCUCAGGAGAGGCACACACAACUGAAGGCAGAGUGACUGUGCUCGGGGGAGGGAUCUCAGCAACAGCAGGAAGAUCAGCAAUGAUAACUGGUGUUGCUUCAGUAGUAGUAACUUCAUUUGGUGCUUCACUGGUUUCUGCACCGGUGGUAGGAACAUUUUGAACAAUCGGAGUAACAACUGUUGCCGCUUCUGUUGUUGCUGCAUUCUGGUUUCUGUUAUCGGCUUUCGGAACGUACUGAGUCUUCAUAGGUUCCUUUGACUUGUUACCCUCUCCAUCCGGAACAACAUUUUGCCGAACUGGGCCGGAACGGUCUGAUUUCCGCAACUCGGGUUUGUUGAUGUAGCAGGUGUCAUCAGAGUGGCCCACAUGCUUGCAGGCAGCACAAUACCGAGGCACUUUUUCGAAGAUGAUAUACUGCCAAAACCCAGUGUCUUUUUCCCCAAUCCAUAACCUCUUCAAUAAAGGCCUAGAAAUGUCAUACUCAAUGAGGACUCUGGCAACAGUAGGCCUACUGACCGAGGCGGUGGCAUGAUCGAUCCGAAGAGGUUUCCCGAUGGCAGCAGCAAUGGAAUACAGAGCCUCUUUGCAUCUCAUGUAGUGGACCGGUAAAAACGGCAAGGAGACCCAUAUCGGAACAAUCGGCGACUCUUCCGAACAAUGAAAAGUUGUGGACCAUUUGAAGACCCUCAUAGCUCGGCCAUCAAUAAACCAGGACUGGCGGAGCCAGAUUCUCGUAUAGUCCUCUUCCAGGUGCAGUUGGAUAAGGAUGUGUCGAGGAUCCAAUAAUGAAAUUUCAACAUUUCCUUUCAAGCCAAGAGCCACAAAAAAUUUACGGAUAACAUCAAUAGGGGGGCGGCCGAAAGAAAACUUACCCACUAAAGCGAGCUUGAAUGGUGCGGCCAUGAUGUUAAUUUCUUCCUCGGUGAAAAAAAUGGCCGGCUCACCUCUAUGGGUGGAAGAUUGCCUGAAGGCAAUGGCUGGAGCAGCUCUUUGAGACCCAGCAGCGGCAUCCACAAACGAUUUACAGGGCCGAGCAGUGGGCGAUUUUGCCGCCAUUUGAGCAAACGAUGGAAGCGGCGGAAACUCCAAUGAAGUAGCCGGAUGGCUACCGGCCAUGGCCAGAGAAGCCAUUCGGGCCGAGCUGCGCGACGGGAGACCCCGGGAGAAAAAUGCUCAAAAUCCCAAGUUCUGUGAAUAGUACCCUGAAAUCACUGUAGCAAACAGGUACUGUAGCGAUCACGGGUACUGUAGCAACGGGUACUGUAGAGAUCAAUGGCACUGUAGCAAUGAUGAACAAAAUACUGUAGCAAGAAGAACAGCACUGUAGCAGGAAUAGUAAAUCCGAAAUUCAAAUUAUCGUGUAGGCUUCAAAUCACCUCCAAAAUGCUCAUAUAAGGUAUGGAAACGUAGAUCGGUGAGAGGGGAACAAUUCUGAGGGGGAGGUGAGAGUUCACUCGCCGGAAAUUUGACCGGAUCUAGGAUUUAGAUAUCGGCACUAUUCAUUGAAUAGUAAACCGAAACUUCAAAGCUUGAUCGGGUAUUCAAAUCAACUCCAAAAUCCCCAAUAAACACACGGAAAUGUAGAUCAAUGAAGGAUGAAUAUGUUUAAGAGGGAGGUGUGAGCUUACUUGCCGGAAAAUGUGGUCGGAAAACCGAAACUAGCAUUCGGGUACUGUAGCACGCAUAGUAUUCCGACUUCACUUCAAUCUUUCAAGCUCCAAACGUGCACCAAAAUUUCCAAGCAACAUAUCAAAUCGAAGGGAAUUCAAAGGACGACGUGCUGGAAGUGGAGGUGUAUAUUCACUCGCCGGAAAAAUGGCCGGAAAGUGGAAUUAAAGGCUCGGCAUCACAGUAGCGGUUGAGAGAAAAUUGUCACUGUAGCAAAACGCUACUGUAGCAGAUUAGGGAAUAAUGGGGUUGGUUGGUUUAGGGUUUAGGGUUUAGGGUUUAGGGUUUAGGGUUUAGGGUUUAGGGUUUUAGGGUUUAGGGUUUAGGGUUUAGGGUUUAGGGUUGGGUUAGGCGGGACCCCUACCAGUAGAUAAAACAAAAAACAAAUUACAAAUACUGGAGGGGGACAUGAACCAAACCUCCAAAGAAAAAUGAAAACAACAAACAGACAAAAAGAAAAGUACAAUGAAAAUAUAAAAUCAAUAUCGGCGGCGUCUUCGGUUCAUCUUGAAGCCCUUCCGAGGAGUGACUUCAGUAAAACCCUCCGUAGAAGUGACAAUUCUUUGCCCACCCAAUUUCGCGAUGACGGUCUCUUCCAUAAUCUCUGAGUCUGAAAUGCCUAUACGGACAUCAACAGGACCGUCAUCACUGGAGUUGCUGUAAUCCUCGAUCCGAUGGCUCGUUCCAAUUCUAUCUUUUGAAGUGUUGGGUGCAGGAGAUACCUCAGGGACAUCAGUGGAUUCGGUAUUGAGAGUGCAUAUCGGCGCAGCAUCAUAUGGAGCAUAUGGGAGUGUCAAAACUUCUGUAGAAGUAAUGUCUGGAAAUGUAUCACAAGAACUGACCGUCUGCCAAGAUGAGCUGCGGUAAAAUCGCCCUUGAUGGCGAUAAGGAUCCCAAGCAGGCGUCGCACGAUAAAUGAGGUCACCGGCUGUCGUUCCCACACGAGCGGCAUGAUCACCACUCAACGGCAGAAGAGCUGCAAGAGGUGUAGGAGUAAUGGCCGUAGAAUCAGCACUAGUAACAGCAGGAACGAGGUCACUGCACAUGGGCUCAGGAGAGGCACACACAACUGAAGGCAGAGUGACUGUGCUCGGGGGAGGGAUCUCAGCAACAGCAGGAAGAUCAGCAAUGAUAACUGGUGUUGCUUCACUAGUAGUAACUUCAUUUGGUGCUUCACUGGUUUCUGCACCGGUGGUAGGAACAUUUUGAACAAUCGGAGUAACAACUGUUGCCGCUUCUGUUGUUGCUGCAUUCUGGUUUCUGUUAUCGGCUUUCGGAACGUACUGAGUCUUCAAAGGUUCCUUUGACUUGUUACCCUCUCCAUCCGGAACAACAUUUUGCCGAACUGGGCCGGAACGGUCUGAUUUCCGCAACUCGGGUUUGUUGAUGUAGCAGGUGUCAUCAGAGUGGCCCACAUGCUUGCAGGCAGCACAAUACCGAGGCACUUUUUCGAAGAUGAUAUACUGCCAAAACCCAGUGUCUUUUUCCCCAAUCCAUAACCUCUUCAAUAAAGGCCUAGAAAUGUCAUACUCAAUGAGGACUCUGGCAACAGUAGGCCUACUGACCGAGGCGGUGGCAUGAUCGAUCCGAAGAGGUUUCCCGAUGGCAGCAGCAAUGGAAUACAGAGCCUCUUUGCAUCUCAUGUAGUGGACCGGUAAAAACGGCAAGGAGACCCAUAUCGGAACAAUCGGCGACUCUUCCGAACAAUGAAAAGUUGUGGACCAUUUGAAGACCCUCAUAGCUCGGCCAUCAAUAAACCAGGACUGGCGGAGCCAGAUUCUCGUAUAGUCCUCUUCCAGGUGCAGUUGGAUAAGGAUGUGUCGAGGAUCCAAUAAUGAAAUUUCAACAUUUCCUUUCAAGCCAAGAGCCACAAAAAAUUUACGGAUAACAUCAAUAGGGGGGCGGCCGAAAGAAAACUUACCCACUAAAGCGAGCUUGAAUGGUGCGGCCAUGAUGUUAAUUUCUUCCUCGGUGAAAAAAAUGGCCGGCUCACCUCUAUGGGUGGAAGAUUGCCUGAAGGCAAUGGCUGGAGCAGCUCUUUGAGACCCAGCAGCGGCAUCCACAAACGAUUUACAGGGCCGAGCAGUGGGCGAUUUUGCCGCCAUUUGAGCAAACGAUGGAAGCGGCGGAAACUCCAAUGAAGUAGCCGGAUGGCUACCGGCCAUGGCCAGAGAAGCCAUUCGGGCCGAGCUGCGCGACGGGAGACCCCGGGAGAAAAAUGCUCAAAAUCCCAAGUUCUGUGAAUAGUACCCUGAAAACACUGUAGCAAACAGGUACUGUAGCGAUCACGGGUACUGUAGCAACCGGUACUGUAGAGAUCAAUGGCACUGUAGCAAUGAUGAACAAAAUACUGUAGCAAGAAGAACAGCACUGUAGCAGGAAUAGUAAAUCCGAAAUUCAAAUUAUCGUGUAGGCUUCAAAUCACCUCCAAAAUGCUCAUAUAAGGUAUGGAAACGUAGAUCGGUGAGAGGGGAACAAUUCUGAGGGGGAGGUGAGAGUUCACUCGCCGGAAAUUUGACCGGAUCUAGGAUUUAGAUAUCGGCACUAUUCAUUGAAUAGUAAACCGAAACUUCAAAGCUUGAUCGGGUAUUCAAAUCAACUCCAAAAUCCCCAAUAAACACACGGAAAUGUAGAUCAAUGAAGGAUGAAUAUGUUUAAGAGGGAGGUGUGAGCUUACUUGCCGGAAAAUGUGGUCGGAAAACCGAAACUAGCAUUCGGGUACUGUAGCACGCAUAGUAUUCCGACUUCACUUCAAUCGUUCAAGCUCCAAACGUGCACCAAAAUUUCCAAGCAACAUAUCAAAUCGAAGGGAAUUCAAAGGACGACGUGCUGGAAGUGGAGGUGUAGAUUCACUCGCCGGAAAAUUGGCCGGAAAGUGGAAUUAAAGGCUCGGCAUCACUGUAGCGGUUGAGAGAAAAUUGUCACUGUAGCAAAACGCUACUGUAGCAGAUUAGGGAAUAAUGGUUUGGGUUUAGGGUUUAGGGUUUAGGGUUUAGGGUUUAGGGUUUAGGGUUUAGGGUUUAGGGUUUAGGGUUUAGGGU